CCUACGGGUGGCAGCAGUCGAGAAUCAUUCACAAUGAGGGAAACCCUGAUGGUGCGACGCCGCGUGGGGGAAUGAAGGUCUUCGGAUUGUAAACCCCUGUCAUGUGGGAGCAAAUUAAAAAGAUAGUACCACAAGAGGAAGAGACGGCUAACUCUGUGCCAGCAGCCGCGGUAAUACAGAGGUCUCAAGCGUUGUUCGGAAUCACUGGGCGUAAGGCGUGCGUAGGCUGUUUCGUAAGUCGUGUGUGAAAGGCGCGGGCUCAACCCGCGGACGGCACAUGAUACUGCGAGACUAGAGUAAUGGAGGGGGAACCGGAAUUCUCGGUGUAGCAGUGAAAUGCGUAGAUAUCGAGAGGAACACUCGUGGCGAAGGCGGGUUCCUGGACAUUAACUGACGCUGAGGCACGAAGGCCAGGGGAGCGAAAGGGAUUAGAUACCCCUGUAGUC
rnacentral:rRNA from 1 species